GUUCCUCACCUUUGUCACUGCCCCUUCCCCAUUUUUCCAACUACAAAGAUCCCAUCUAACUCAGGAUGGGAAGCCAUUUUUAAAAAGGAAAAUGGACUAACUAUGCUGGACGGGCAGGACAUGAUCAGCAAUCUCAACACUUGCAGAAUGUAAUUUGUAGAAUGAGCAACAGAGGUUGAAAAUUGGUUAAGUAUACAACAGUGACCACAAAUAAUGUUGGUGGAAUAUUCUCAAGCUCAAGAU